rnacentral:rRNA from 1 species
UACGGAGGGGGCUAGCGUUGUUCGGAAUUACUGGGCGUAAAGCGCACGUAGGCGGCUUUGUAAGUUAGAGGUGAAAGCCCGGGGCUCAACCCCGGAAUAGCCUUUAAGAUUGCAUCGCUUGAACACGGGAGAGGUGAGUGGAAUUCCGAGUGUAGAGGUGAAAUUCGUAGAUAUUCGGAAGAACACCAGUGGCGAAGGCGGCUCACUGGACCGUUGUUGACGCUGAGGUGCGAAAGCGUGGGGAGCAAACAGG